UACGUAGGGACCAAGCGUUGUCCGGAAUCAUUGGGCGUAAAGCGCGCGUAGGUGGCCAUUUAAGUCCGCUGUGAAAGUCAGAGGCUCAACCUUUGAAAGCCGGUGGAUACUGGAUGGCUAGAGUACGGAAGAGGCGAGUGGAAUUCCUGGUGUAGCGGUGGAAUGCGCAGAUAUCAGGAGGAACACCAAUAGCGAAGGCAGCUCGCUGGGACGUUUACUGACGCUGAGGAGCGAAAGCGUGGGGAGCGAACAGG
rnacentral:rRNA from 1 species